GGGAUUAGAUACCCCACUAUGCUCAGCCAUAAACUUUGAUAGACUUCUACACCCACUAUCCGCCAGGGGACUACGAGCGCUAGCUUAAAACCCAAAGGACUUGGCGGUGCUUUAGACCCACCUAGAGGAGCCUGUUCUAGAACCGAUAACCCCCGUUAAACCUCACCCUCCCUUGUUCUUUCCGCCUAUAUACCGCCGUCGUCAGCUUACCCUUUGAGGGAUCAAUAGUAAGCAAAGUCAGUAUAACUCAAAACGUCAGGUCGAGGUGUAGCAUAUGAGAGGGGAAGAAAUGGGCUACAUUUCCUAUCAUAGGACAUACGGAUAAUGUAAUGAAACGUACAUUAGAAGGAGGAUUUAGCAGUAAGCAAAAAAUAGAGUGUUUUGCUGAAGCUGGCUCUGAAGCGCGCACACACCGCCCGUCACCCUCAA
rnacentral:rRNA from 1 species